GCCUAACACAUGCAAGUCGAGCGGCAGCACGGGAAGCUUGCUUCCUGGUGGCGAGCGGCGGACGGGUGAGUAAUGCAUAGGAAUCUGCCCGGUAGUGGGGGAUAACCUGGGGAAACCCAGGCUAAUACCGCAUACGUCCUACGGGAGAAAGCAGGGGCUCUUCGGACCUUGCGCUAUCGGAUGAGCCUAUGUCGGAUUAGCUGGUUGGUGAGGUAAUGGCUCACCAAGGCGACGAUCCGUAGCUGGUCUGAGAGGAUGAUCAGCCACAUCGGGACUGAGACACGGCCCGAACUCCUACGGGAGGCAGCAGUGGGGAAUAUUGGACAAUGGGCGCAAGCCUGAUCCAGCCAUGCCGCGUGUGUGAAGAAGGCCCUCGGGUUGUAAAGCACUUUCAGUGGGGAAGAAAGCCUUCCGGUUAAUACCCGGGAGGAAGGACAUCACCCACAGAAGAAGCACCGGCUAACUCCGUGCCAGCAGCCGCGGUAAUACGGAGGGUGCGAGCGUUAAUCGGAAUUACUGGGCGUAAAGCGCGCGUAGGUGGCUUGAUAAGCCGGUUGUGAAAGCCCCGGGCUCAACCUGGGAACGGCAUCCGGAACUGUCAGGCUAGAGUGCAGGAGAGGAAGGUAGAAUUCCCGGUGUAGCGGUGAAAUGCGUAGAGAUCGGGAGGAAUACCAGUGGCGAAGGCGGCCUUCUGGACUGACACUGACACUGAGGUGCGAAAGCGUGGGUAGCAAACAGGAUUGAUACCCGGUAGUCCACGCCGUAAACGAUGUCGACUAGCCGUUGGGUCCUUCGCGGACUUUGUGGCGCAGUUAACGCGAUAAGUCGACCGCCUGGGGAGUACGGCCGCAAGGUUAAAACUCAAAUGAAUUGACGGGGGCCCGCACAAGCGGUGGAGCAUGUGGUUUAAUUCGAUGCAACGCGAAGAACCUUACCUACCCUUGACAUCCUCGGAAUCCGCCAGAGAUGGCGGAGUGCCUUCGGGAACCGAGAGACAGGUGCUGCAUGGCUGUCGUCAGCUCGUGUUGUGAAAUGUUGGGUUAAGUCCCGUAACGAGCGCAACCCUUGUCCCUAUUUGCCAGCGAUUCGGUCGGGAACUCUAGGGAGACUGCCGGUGACAAACCGGAGGAAGGUGGGGACGACGUCAAGUCAUCAUGGCCCUUACGGGUAGGGCUACACACGUGCUACAAUGGUCAGUACAAAGGGUUGCGAACUUGCGAGAGUGAGCCAAUCCCAGAAAGCUGAUCUCAGUCCGGAUCGGAGUCUGCAACUCGACUCCGUGAAGUCGGAAUCGCUAGUAAUCGUGAAUCAGAAUGUCACGGUGAAUACGUUCCCGGGCCUUGUACACACCGCCCGUCACACCAUGGGAGUGGACUGCACCAGAAGUGGUUAGCCUAACCUUCGGGAGGGCGAUCACCACGGUGUGGUUCAUGACUGGGGUGAAGUCGUAACAAGGUAGCCGUAGGGGAACCUGCGGCUGGAUCACCUCCUU
rnacentral:rRNA from 1 species